rnacentral:misc_RNA from 1 species
GUGAAUCAUCGAAUUUUUGAACGCAAAUUGCACUCUCUUCGGAGAGUAUGCCUGUUUGAGGGUCAGCCUAAAAAAAUCGACAUAGUUGCUGUUAAGCGGUAACAUUCGGUGGAAAUUGGGGUAUCUUAAACCCUUUGGUUUAAGCGGCCUAAAAAUUUCUUUACGAUUCCAAGAACGUUUCUAAGAUUUUAUCUUCCUAUACGUUUAAGGGAAUCGUCCUU